ACACUCCUACGGGAGGCAGCAGUGGGGAAUUUUGGACAAUGGGCGAAAGCCUGAUCCAGCCAUGCCGCGUGCAGGAUGAAGGCCUUCGGGUUGUAAACUGCUUUUGUACGGAACGAAACGGCCUUUUCUAAUAAAGAGGGCUAAUGACGGUACCGUAAGAAUAAGCACCGGCUAACUACGUGCCAGCAGCCGCGGUAAUACGUAGGGUGCAAGCGUUAAUCGGAAUUACUGGGCGUAAAGCGUGCGCAGGCGGUUAUGUAAGACAGUUGUGAAAUCCCCGGGCUCAACCUGGGAACUGCAUCUGUGACUGCAUAGCUAGAGUACGGUAGAGGGGGAUGGAAUUCCGCGUGUAGCAGUGAAAUGCGUAGAUAUACGGAGGAACACCGAUGGCGAAGGCAAUCCCCUGGACCUGUACUGACGCUCAUGCACGAAAGCGUGGGGAGCAAACAGGAUUAGAAACCCCAGUAGUCCCAUGAU
rnacentral:rRNA from 1 species